UCUGAGUUGAGUAGGGAUGCUCUUGUGGA
rnacentral:piRNA from 1 species